rnacentral:rRNA from 1 species
GAUCAUGGCUCAGGAUGAACGCUAGCUACAGGCUUAACACAUGCAAGUCGAGGGGCAGCAUGAACUUAGCUUGCUAAGUUUGAUGGCGACCGGCGCACGGGUGAGUAACACGUAUCCAACCUUCCGUUUACUCAGGGAUAGCCUUUCGAAAGAAAGAUUAAUACCUAAUAGUAUGGUGAGAUUGCAUGAUAGCACCAUUAAAGAUUUAUUGGUAAACGAUGGGGAUGCGUUCCAUUAGG